rnacentral:rRNA from 1 species
UACGUAGGGGGCUAGCGUUGUCCGGAAUCAUUGGGCGUAAAGGGUGCGUAGGCGGGUCUUUAAGUCAGGGGUGAAAUCCUGGAGCUCAACUCCAGAACUGCCUUUGAUACUGAGGAUCUUGAGUUCGGGAGAGGUGAGUGGAACUGCGAGUGUAGAGGUGAAAUUCGUAGAUAUUCGCAAGAACACCAGUGGCGAAGGCGGCUCACUGGCCCGAUACUGACGCUGAGGCACGAAAGCGUGGGGAGCAAACAGG